CUAUAUGCUCACAUAUAGGCUGCCGGAAAUACUGUAAAGCUAGGGAGUGGGAGAGGUAGACGGUACUCCGUAGGAAGGGGUAAAAUCCUUUGAUCUAUGGAUGACCACCUGUGGCGAAGGCGGUCUACCAGAACACGUCCGACGGUGAGGGAUGAAAGCUGGGGGAGCAAACCGGAUUAGAUACCCGGGUAGUCCCAGCUGUAAACUAUGCAAACUCAGUGAUGCAUUGGCUUGUGGCCAGUGCAGUGCCGCAGAGAAGUCGUUAAGUUUGCCGCCUGGGAAGUACGUACGCAAGUAUGAAACUUAAAGGAAUUGGCGGGGGAGCACCACAAGGGGUGAAGCCUGCGGUUCAAUUGGAGUCAACGCCAGAAAUCUUACCCGGAGAGACAGCAGGAUGAAGGUCAAGCUGAAGACUUUACCAGACAAGCUGAGAAGUGGUGCAUGGCCGUCGCCAGCUCGUGCCGUGAGGUGUCCUGUUAAGUCAGGUAACGAGCGAGAUCCUUGCCUCUAGUUGCCACCAUUACUCUCAGGAGUAGUGGGGCGAAUUAGCGGGACUGCCGUAGUUAAUACGGAGGAAGGAGAGGGCCACGGCAGGUCAGUAUGCCCCGAAAUCUCU
rnacentral:rRNA from 1 species